UGGCCAAAUCAUGUUGAAACAUCGGUUCCCGUACCAUCACCGAAGUUAAGCAAUGUCGAGUGUGGUCAGUACCUAGAUGGGUGAUCACUUAGGAAUACCAGGUGCU